CAGAAGGCAGAUUCUCAACCACUGAGCCACCCAGGCAUCCUGAGCACGUGACUCUUGAUUUUGGGAUUGUGCAUUUGAGCCCCCCAUUAGGUGUAGAGAUUACUUAAAAAUAAGAUCUUACCAGAAAAUUUAGAGUUGCUAAUUCUAUAGAAACAUAAACCCAUCCAUUAAUUUUUUAAAAAUUAUUUUAAAGUAAUCUUUACCCAAGGUGAGACUGGAACUCAAAACCUGAGAUCAAGAGUCACAUGCUCUAGAAACUGAGCCCCCCGCAACACCCAUAUGUUUACAUGUAAACCCAAUGUUUACAUGUAAACCCAAUGUUUACAAAUAAUCUAGUAAAUCUAAUGACAGUAGUUUCUCAGGCUUUUUCAAUGGCUUUUAUAAAAGUCACAAAAUUGGGUUAAAUGAAGACCAACUACUUCAUUUAAAAUAAGAGAUAGGCACAUACCUGGAUUUUAAGAAGUCAGGAUUUUCUGUUGGGUACCAGCAUUUCUCAGAAAAGGAUUUUCCUUCUGACAGGUUAAUAUUUAGGAGGAAGGUUUUUGACCCCACCGCCGCCAUAUUGAGAGAUUGUGUUUUCAGCAUUGUUUUGUUGCUGUCAUAGUAUUCAGAAAUAGUUAUUAACAGGGAAAGUUGGUAGUGAAUUUGUUUUUUUUGCAGUUUUCAACUAAACCUUGUGAAACUACUUGCUGAGAAAGCAGUUAUUGUUAUCUGGUCUCUCUAUAUAUUUUAAAGAUUUAUUUAUUCAUGAGAGAGAGAGAGGCAGGCUCCUCAAAGGGAGGCCAAAGCAGGACUCCGUCCCCUAACACGGGAUCAGGCCCUGACCCAAAGGCGGACGCUCAACUGCGGGACACCCAGGUAUCCCUUAUCUGGUCUAUGUUAAGAAGCCAAAGCAUCACACAUCUCAUGAUAAGUAUUUCCUUUUUGUUUCAUCUAUUUUCCCUUCCGCCGCUAUUCUGUAUCAGCCAUGAGGUUGCUGUUGGAAUUCAGGGACAAAUAAGAGGUCAUAUAAUAUAGGCCAUUGCAUAAUGAUGAAAUAUCAAUUCUGUAGUCUGUCUCUAAGGCUCUGUCCUUAAUAAUAAAAUACAUUGUGCUGUGAUGGUUGUAAAGCUAUCACUCCAAGUUAGAUAUUAAUUAUUUUUAAUUCACAUGAUUGUGAUUUACUUUCAGGUUUUUAUGUGUUCAAUCUUCAAGAAUCAUUUACGUUUACCUGGUAAAAAAACCAAUGGAGAGGUUAUGUUCACAAGCUUUUUAAGGUAUACUUUGGAAAUAUUGUGAAUUUGACCCCAGACCUCUGUAAUAAAUGAGAAAACCAACGCGCAGAAAGCUGGGGCCUCGCCCAGGGCCUGGUCCCUCAGCUCCCGGACCUCCUGCAGCACCCUCUUCGCCUGGCUCCAGUUCGACGACGCCUCUCCCAGCAGCCGCUCUGUCUCUAGCAGCAGCUGUUCCGACUCGGAAUCAGGAGGAGACCAAGGGGGGUCCUUGGCCUUCCGCUUCCCGUCUCCCAGGCCCUGAACCUCUGCCAGCAGCUCCUGAGUCUUUUCCAGUUUCCUGGCUACCAGGUCCUGGAUCCGGGACAGCUGGGCCGGGUGGGGCGGAAGGAGGGUGGGGGGGUCCUCGGGCCGCAGCGGGUUGGUGCAGGGGGGGACAGCGUCCCGCCGGGACAGGAUCUCCUCCAGGGAGGCACAGCGGCCUUUCUCUGUAGGGGUCAGCUUCUUGGGUGCCUGAGGGGUAUAGGUGGCCCCUUUGUCCGGCUUCUCCCAAGACCGGGGAAGGCCGCCGGCCCGCUCUGAGGAGGGCUGGACGUGGUCCGAGUCUGCUCUCCGCCGGCUGCCGGCUAGCUGGGCCGCUGACUUGUCCAGGUCCACCCUGAAGCUGUCGGCGCAGGAGGUGCGCUCCUCGGGGGAAGGCUCCUCCUCCUGGAUCAAGUCCAAGACCUCCCCAAGAGUGCCUUUCUUCUCCAUCUCAUGCUUCUUCUGAGCAUCUUUUGGGGUCUGGCACACACAGGAUGCUCCACGGCGCACAGUAAUCGGUGCCCUCCCAGCCACACACCUCAACCGCCUCUGCUCUAAAGAGCCACAACCCCUUGCCUUACAGGAAAACUUGUUCUACUUCCAGAAUAUCGUAAUAAAAAAAAUAAUACGGGUAUUAUUCAGCCCCUCAUGCAUCCUUGUACAUAUGUGGCUUGAGUCGUUCAUUCCUCCCAGCAGCCCUUCAAGGUGGGCAUGGUGACUGCUCUACUCUACUGCUGAAGACAUAGAGCCUCAGGGAAUCACAGGGAGAAGAGAUUGCAAAGCUGGGUUCCAACCUGGUUCUGUUUCCAAAGCCUAUAUUCUUUCCACUCUACCCAUCUGCCUGCCUCCCUAGAGACUGAGCGCUUGGACAGUGAAAGGGACCAGCACUUGGUGUGUCACAGGGCUGCAUGGUGCAGAGCCUCAUGCUGUUCCCCCUCAGGACAGCCGGCCACUGCACAGUAACAGGCCCCGCAGCACAGCAAUCACUGCUGCUAUUUUUCACUUUCCUUGUGGGUAGAUCUCAUUUCCCACAGGGGAUGAUAAACUGAUAGAGGGCAAGGACUUUUGAACUCAUAGUAGGUACUAACUAAAUAUUUCUGCUUGGAGGAAUUGGGCUGGGGGACGGGGUGAAGGGGCUUCCCUAGCCUUUGGCCUUGGUAUGGCAAAUGCCUCUGGUGGGCCGUCUCAGAUAGUCUUGUCUGAGACAGACUAAUGUGGAGUUGGCCCUUCAAGAAGUUUUACACCCUUACAAUCUUACAUACCACGGCCAUCAGGUGUCCUCGAGUUGGGGGGCGGCGGGAGUGUUGGAUUUUUGCCCUGUCUCGAGUGGGGUGGGCGAGAUAGCUAUCCUCCUCCACGGUGACCUGAAGAGAUGCACUGUGAUGAGUCAUGGGUGUUCUUCACAGACCCAUGUGAAGCAGCCCCUGAGUCCUCGACUGGGAAAUAAACCCACCCAUUAACUGCUUCUGAGAAAAUUCAAAGACAAAGCCUUUAUGGCGCCUGUGAGGGGCGGUGGGGUGUGUGUGUGUGUGUGGGGGGGGUUCCAAGGCUGGCCCCAUGCAUCCAAAGCACAGAAAGAGUUGGCAGAAAGACAUAAAAGGUGGGAGAAUGGGGUUUGCAAAGGGAGCUAAAGAAGUGUAGCUCGUGGGGGUAGCAGGUUAAGUGUGGUCCACCCAUAAUCUGUCCCUUUAGUGAGUCAUGGUUACUGCCUCUGCCCUGCUGUUCCUCCUCCCCAAAUGAGCCCCCCUGACCUCAUCCAAGAUGCGGUUCUUGGCUCGGGUGAUAGCGGAGUUGAGGGCAUUGAUCCAUGAUUCCUUCUCUUCUGGACUCACUGCUAGGAAGAUCAGGUUGGGAGCCUGUGAGGGGAAGAUUCUUGGUUCAGCCAGGGUUUUAGGGUGGGUGCCUCACUAGGACAGUAAAGAAAUAAGGAAUUAUCAUCUCAUUCUCUUAGACUCAGCUCGUAGGAGAGUUUCUGUUUCCAGAGUCACCCACAGAACUAAGAAAACCGGCCCCUAUUCCUAGAAGAUGCCACAGCUUAGAGGUUCCUUUAGAAAUGACCAAGGACGAGCUAAGAAGGUUAAUGGAUAUACAUACAUCUGUCACUGGAGAUAAUUAUAAGGAGGUUUGAUAAAUGAUAAAGGACAGAGACUAAAAUAAAGAUCUUUAAUGUUUGAGUAAACAGAAUGUAACAGGAUCUCCCCUGAAUUCUCUCAGACAAGAGAAACUGGGUUCAGAACUUCAACCAUCUAUCAGGUACAGGGAAAAGUGAUUUUCUUCCAAGAGAUGUGUGAUGUAUAUGUGCGUGUAUGUGAGAGAGCGAGCGAGAGAGACGAUCUUUGUGACUGGACAGUUUAAAAGCUGCUUUGCCUGCAGGGAAGGAAAUGGCCACAAUAUUCUCAGGUUAAAUAACAAAAGCUGGUAGAAGAGCAAGGCCAUCUGAGCCAGGAAUGGGGGAUGGAACCCACAGGGGGAGGGUGUUCUUCACCCCCAGCACCCCCCCUCCCCCAUGCAAGCGGCAAUGUUCUAGUGGCCAAGGAGGCAGGACAAACCUACCGUGUUGCCGGGCUGUUUGGAGUGGGCAAGAGUAAACUUGCUAUGAUUUUUCUUGCUCCUGCUUUUGGAUUUCCGGAGCUCUUCACACUUCUCAUAGUCACUCAGGAACUUCAGCAUCACGAAAACAGCAGUUCCCUGGAUCCGUGUGUUGAAUUUGUUCAGACAAGGCCGAGAAACAUGCCUGUACUUCUUACUCUCCUUCCUCCCUCCCAGGAACCGGGACAACCCAGCCUCGCCCCUGCAGGCCUCGAAGGCCACUGAGGGCAUCCAUCCACCUCUCCCUUGACAAAGAUGCACUUAUUCUGUCCCUGGAGGACGGAGGAUCAGAUCUGCGCCCUGCUACUUCCUUGCACGGUUCCAGUGAGAGCCUAAGCCCCUUCCUGCUGGAAGUUCUGUCUACACGUGGCCCUCCCCUGCCCUGGCGCCUCCCCUGCACCCGGUGCUGCCCUUCCCAGCUUCAGCCGGCACUCGGGCCCUCACCCUCUUGCUCAGUGUCUCACCGGAGACCCUGAUUCUGUCUACAUCCCCUGACGCCCCCCAGCCUGUGCUGAGGACCGCAAAGCAAAUUCCAGUAAGACUUCUGCCGAGGUCUGUUUGAAAUCUCUCAGUUGUUUGUCCUCCCCACUAAGGUGACCCCCCGCCAUCCCCGGACUGGGACUGGGGGUGCUGGGAGGCUGUGACUCCCGGACUGUGCUGGCUCACAGGAAGAGAGGGCCUCAGACACCAGCAGCCUGACAUCCGCAAGCCCUCUGGCCCUCUGCCGCCUCCAAGGACCCUGGGAACGCGCUGCUUGUGCUUUCCUGGGACGAGUGAUGAAAAGCACCAGUGCCUGUCUUGUUAAAGCUAAACAAGCAAAUAAAAGUAGUCUCGUGUCUACUUGGAAGUCA